rnacentral:rRNA from 1 species
CCUACGGGGGGCAGCAGUGGGGAAUAUUGGACAAUGGGGGGAACCCUGAUCCAGCCAUGCCGCGUGUGUGAAGAAGGCCCUCGGGUUGUAAAGCACUUUCAGUGAGGAAGAACGCCUGGUGGUUAAUACCCAUCAGGAAAGACAUCACUCACAGAAGAAGCACCGGCUAACUCCGUGCCAGCAGCCGCGGUAAUACGGAGGGUGCGAGCGUUAAUCGGAAUUACUGGGCGUAAAGCGCGCGUAGGUGGCUUGAUAAGCCGGUUGUGAAAGCCCCGGGCUCAACCUGGGAACGGCAUCCGGAACUGUCAAGCUAGAGGGCAGGAGAGGAAGGUAGAAUUCCCGGGGGAGCGGUGAAAUGCGUAGAGAUCGGGAGGAAUACCAGUGGCGAAGGCGGCCUUCUGGACUGACACUGACACUGAGGUGCGAAAGCGUGGGUAGCAAACAGGAUUAGAUACCCUUGUAGUC